UUGAGCACAAAUUUUAGACUAAGAACAUUCUCUCAAAUAUUUGAUUAUAGUCAUGAACAAGGACCACAUUAGGCCCAAACCCCAGUCUCAACAGGUCCCUAGGGAUACCAGAAGAGUCUUAGAAGCCUCUUUUGCUUGGGAGACAUUUGUCAUCCCUAGUCAGUUGGAUUUUUCUUUGGAAAGCCUCACGGAGAGUGGGAGACAGAAAUAAAUCAGAGCUCAAAUCAGUCAAGAAGCUGAACAGAAAAAUUGCCCCACACUCUGCAGGUGUCCCGAAGUGUUCCACCCUCCCAUCAGGUUAAGCCAGGUGUGUGCCAGAUUCCCGGGAGUGGGAGUCCAAGGAGCCUUAGGUUUUGAACUUGGCUUAAGGCAGUUCUGGAGAGGCAUACGCGAGCAGAAUUCUCUUUGAAGGAACGCGGUUUUCAUCUUGGAUCUGAAAGAAUUUCGGUGUCUAAAGCCAGCGUGGUGAAAUAGUCACAUCUAUGAAAACUUACAGGCUUUCUGGAGUGGAUCUGAGUAGCCGAGCAGCCCUCAGACUCCUGUGUGGCCUAGAGAAGAAUGGUGUCCUUCAGCAUAGGUGACAAUAGGAAGACAUAUGUGACAGAUUCAUUUAUCUGCCGUUGCAAACCACAGUCCUUUUCCCUGGGAAGAUUUGGCAGGAACCAUCAGAACGUGGACAGCAUAGAAUCUGGACCGUGCAAAGAAGAACUCACAGGAGACAGAAGAGGUUGCCGAGAGGAUCACAUUAGGUCAAGGUUACAGCUGCAGACGUGGUCACGCACCUCACUCUCCCAUUGUGUGGCCUCGGUUCAGAGACACCUUGCAAAGCCAUUCUGGGACAGGUUCCGAAUAUCUUAGAAAAAAACAUUUCCAGGCACACCCUGCACUUUUAUUAACGUUACAUGUGUAUUUCAUUUAGGUUGUUUCUAUACAUUUUAAAAGUAUAGCUGGGUGGU